CCUAACAGAGAGGACAAAAAUGGAUGCCUAACAGAGAGGACAAAAAUGGAUGCCUAACAGAGAGGACAAAAAUGGAUGCCUAACAGAGAGGACAAAAAUUGAUGCCUAACAGAGUGGACAAAAAUGUAUGCUUAAUUCAAGUGGUAUACACAGUAGCAAUUAUGUUUUACUCAGUUGCUUUAUGACUCUAAAACCUAAUUUAAAGAAUAUUUCACUCGAAACUGAGAUUUGGUGAACUCCGUCAGAUUAGUCUAAAAUCUCAAAAGAAUCAGGAUUGAGUAGGGUCAGCUAUGCCAUAAGGACCCCUUUUCGUUAGAUUACGAUAGAAUAUGAAUUUUGGUUAAAAUAUGUUACAUUUAAGUCACAGAGGGCUCUUGCAUAAAACUACAUAAGAUUGCGUUUCAGUUAAUAUCCAUUAUUACCAUUUUUUAUUUUUAUAAAAAAAUAAUUUUGGGGAGUUUGAAAUUGGGAUCCUUUGCUCAGGACAGGGCAUUUCCAGGCAUAGAGCCGACAUGGAAAUUAAUAAUAUUGAGAGUAUUUAGAAGAUUUGAGAAAGAAAAAAAAAUAUAUAUAUGUGUGUGUGUGUGUGUGUGUGUGUGUGUGUGUGUGUGUGUGUGUGUGUGUGUGUGUGUGUGUGUGUGUGUGUGUGUGUGUGUGUGUGUGUGUGCUAUGCCAGUGGAUCUAUGACACUGUGACCUUGUGAGUGUCCCUGUGAGGGGGGGGGGGUGGACUGGAGCGGUGGAUGAAACACUACAUUACUGUUCCACCUGCUGCCAUCCAUGUUGUUGCUGAAAGCCUACAGAGCCUGAACAGAGCCUGCACAUUGCCUAUAGUGUGACUCCCACCAACUUACUCACACAGAGCAAGCUGUGGUAUUGUAUUAGAAAAAAUGUGCACAUCAGUGACGUUCUACUGACGUCUCGAGAGACAUUUUAAUUUGUGAUGAUUUAUGUACAAUGUUGCCUAAUAUGUGACAGUCAUUGGUCAAUGGUCAUACGUUAUACUAUUGUUAUAGACAUUCAAUAAGAUUUUAAUUUGAGGCCAUGUGGCAGAAAGUGAUAAGGGAAGCUAGUGGGUCUGGGAAGGUGUGAUGUCGUUGAUGUUUGUAUGAUGUAUUUUGUAUCUUUUGUAUUGUUUCUCAAAGAUCAAAUAAAAUCAACAACAAAAAAAUAGAUUGUAAAAGAUGAUUGUGGUUAUUCGUCAAGGAAAAGGGUUGAGGUUCAGUUUGAACUAAGUGUUGCACUACGGCCUCUUCAAGUUGGGCCUUUGGAAAAGUACGAUACCUGUGUGUCAGUAAGGAGAAUACGGACGUGUGUCCACUUUGGUAAAAGACACCGAAAAACGUUGUAACCAUCUGGCUACCACUAGAGGGCG
ensembl:lncRNA